GGGUCUGGCAGUCGGAUGCCGGAUCAAAGGCGCAAGUCGCUCUGGGAGGGGCCCGCGGCCGAUUAGCUAGUUGGUGGGGUAAGGGCCUACCAAGGCUGAGAUCGGUAGCUGGUCUGAGAGGAUGAUCAGCCACAUUGGCACUGAGACACGGGCCAAACUCCUACGGGAGGCAGCAGUAAGGAAUAUUGCACAAUGGGGGAAACCCUGAUGCAGCAACGCCGCGUGGGUGAUGAAGGCCUUCGGGUCGUAAAGCCCUGUCAGGUGGGAAGAAACUCGUGGAUGCUAAUAUCAUCCACGCUUGACGGUACCACCGGAGGAAGCACCGGCUAACUCCGUGCCAGCAGCCGCGGUAAUACGGAGGAUGCAAGCGUUAUCCGGAUUUAUUGGGUUUAAAGGGUGCGUAGGCGGUCGGGUAAGUCAGAUGUGAAAGCCUUCUGCUUAACAGAAGAAGUGCAUUUGAAACUGCCCGGCUAGAGUACGGGAGAGGAGAGUGGAAUUCCCGGUGUAGAGGUGAAAUUCGUAGAUAUCGGGAGGAACACCAGUGGCGAAAGCGGCU
rnacentral:rRNA from 1 species